GAUGAACGCUGGCGGCGUGCUUAACACAUGCAAGUCGAACGAAGCACUCUAUUUGAUUUCCUUCGGGACUGAUUAUUUUGUGACUGAGUGGCGGACGGGUGAGUAACGCGUGGGUAACCUGCCUUGUACAGGGGGAUAACAGUUGGAAACAGCUGCUAAUACCGCAUAAGCGCACAGCAUCGCAUGAUGCAGUGUGAAAAACUCCGGUGGUAUAAGAUGGACCCGCGUUGGAUUAGCUAGUUGGUGAGGUAACGGCCCACCAAGGCGACGAUCCAUAGCCGACCUGAGAGGGUGACCGGCCACAUUGGGACUGAGACACGGCCCAAACUCCUACGGGAGGCAGCAGUGGGGAAUAUUGCACAAUGGGCGAAAGCCUGAUGCAGCGACGCCGCGUGAGCGAAGAAGUAUUUCGGUAUGUAAAGCUCUAUCAGCAGGGAAGAUAAUGACGGUACCUGACUAAGAAGCACCGGCUAAAUACGUG
rnacentral:rRNA from 1 species